GUGCCAGCCGCCGCGGUAAUACUAGCUGUCCAAGUCGCAGCCAUUUUUAUUGGGUCUAAAACAUCCGUAGCUUGCUUUGUAAGUUCUUUGUGAAAUUCUAUAUCUCAAGUAUAGAGCGUGCAAGGAAUACUGCAGGGCUAGAGACUGGAAGACGUAAGAAGUACGUUUGAAGUAGCGGUUAAAUGCGUUAAUCUCAGACGGACUCACAACAGCGAAGGCAUCUUACGAGGACAGUUCUGACAGUGAGGGAUGAAGACCAGGGGCGCAAAACGGAUUAGAUACCCGCGUAGUCC
rnacentral:rRNA from 1 species